rnacentral:piRNA from 1 species
GAGGACCUACAGCCUAACAUGGCCCACCUG